GCCCGGCCCGCCUCACGGUGGCUUAGAGUCACAGUUCCCUGCAGAGAUCCCUGUAUCCUCUCUCUCAUGUGGAAUGGACAUGCAGAAGCUGCUCUUACAGAGGAAUUGUUGUUCAGGAGCCCUAACCAGAGGAGAAGCUGGCAGAAGUGGAUCUGAGCAGCUUGGACAUCCUUCUAAGCAGAUAUGAACAGUCCUCAGCUUUCUGCCUCCCUCAUAACUACACUUCACGACUUUUAGCGGCACGGCUGAAGCCUAAGAUAAAUGCAUGGUAGAGGCUGAGUACAGACGGCUGCUUCCCUUUAGUAGGAUGGAGAAAGAAGUCAAGGGUAAGAGCCCACCCCCGUUGUGAGAUGGAAGGCGCACAAGAGCCAUGAGACAGUGAGCAUUGUUGAUGCCAGGCUAUGGCGAUGCCAUCUAGCUGGAAGCGGAGCAGCCGUCACUGUCAGUGAGUUAAGUGUCUGGUUUGGUGAGGAGUCUGGUCACGGCCCACAUGGCUCCAGGCAGGGAUGCGCCGUUAGCUUGGUCUGUGUUUGUAAGAAAAGGUUCCCGUCUAGCUGUGGCUACGAGGGAGACGAGGUCCCCGUUAUCAGGGGCUGCUCAUUUUGUCUGGUCAGGAGCGGUCUGUCCACCGCAGCGAAAGGUUGCAUCUAGGAGGAUGACUCUAGCUGAGGAACAGUCGAGCAGCAGCCGAAGGAAAAGCUGGCAGAGGUGGACCUGAGCAGCCUGGACAUCCUUGUAAGCAGAGAUUAACAAUCCUCCGCUUUCUGCCUUCUGCAUAACUGACUAGGGAGAAUUUCCCUAUAUUGGGAGCAGCUGAUCUUCCUGGACAGGGAGGAGCAUGUUCACCUGAGCAGAGGCCUGGAACCGGAAAGAACUUUGGGCAGUGAUGGCUCCUGCUUGGGUUAUAUGCUGUGUUUGCGGAGGAAUCGCCCAGGAGCCCCAGCCAGAGGAGAAACUGGAAGAAGUGAACCUGAGCAGCCUGGACAUCCUUGUAAGCAGAGAUGAACAGUCCUCCGCUUUCUGUCUUCUCCAUGACUGGCUGUGAGUGAACAAUUAUGGCACUCUAUUGCUCAUCCGUACCACUCUAGUUUUCUUCUACCAUUCUCCUGCUGCUCUCUGGCCCUGCUGUAUCAUGGCACCCAGUGUCACUGUUGCUCCUUAAGGAAAUGCUCUGUGCAUUACCCCAGGUGUCCACCCAGUGCCACUGUUGCUCCAUGGGGGAAAUGCUUUGUGCAUUACCUGGAUUAGCCACCCAGUGUCACUGUUGCUUUAUUUGGGAAAUGCUCUGUGCAACUAUACAGAGUGUCCACCCGGUGUCAAUAUUGCUCCAUGAAGGAAAUGCUCUGUGAUUACCCGGGGUGGCCACGCAGUCUCAUUUUUGCUUCAUGAGAGAAAUGUUC